UUUAAUUAUUUAAAAAAAGAAAUAGAAUGAUGAUUGAUAAUAAAGGGAGACAAUCCCUCUUUCAGUAACAAAGUAGCACCUCUUCUUUCAAAAUAAAACAAAUCAUGUUUGAACUUAAAAGAACAAUCAUCUUCUUCUUCCUCUGUUAAUUACACGAAAAAUAAAAUAAAAGGAAAACAAACUUCACAACUUGAUCUUCAAUAACCAGUAGAAAAUAAAACAACAUAAAUAAAACCAAUCAAUCUCAAAU
rnacentral:lncRNA from 1 species